rnacentral:rRNA from 1 species
UACGUAGGGGGCAAGCGUUGUCCGGAAUUAUUGGGCGUAAAGCGCGCGCAGGCGGUCAUUUAAGUCUGAUGUGAAAGCCCACGGCUCAACCGUGGAGGGUCAUUGGAAACUGGGGGGCUUGAGUGCAGAAGAGGAAAGCGGAAUUCCACGUGUAGCGGUGAAAUGCGUAGAGAUGUGGAGGAACACCAGUGGCGAAGGCGGCUUUCUGGUCUGUAACUGACGCUGAGGCGCGAAAGCGUGGGGAGCAAACAGG